GGGGGUGUAGCUCAGUGGUAUAGCAUGCGCUUAGCAUGCAGGAGGUCUCUGGGUUCAGUCCCCAGUACCUCCA
rnacentral:tRNA from 1 species